rnacentral:rRNA from 1 species
AACGACUCUCGGCAACGGAUAUCUCGGCUCACGCAUCGAUGAAGAACGUAGCAAAAUGCGAUACUUGGUGUGAAUUGCAGAAUCCCGUGAACCAUCGAGUUUUUGAACGCAAGUUGCGCCUGAGGCCUCCCGGCUGAGGGCACGUCUGCCUGGGCGUCACGCAUCACGUCGC